rnacentral:rRNA from 1 species
GAUGAACGCUGGCGGUAUGCCUAACACAUGCAAGUCGUACGAGAGUUUUUUACUCAAGUGGCGGACGGGUGAGUAACACGUGAGAAUUUGCCUUUAGGAGAGGGAUAACAAUUGGAAACGAUUGCUAAUACCUCAUAUGCUUGAGAGUGAAAUAGAUUUAUCUGCCUAAAGAAAAGCUCGCGGCUGAUUAGCUAGUUGGUAAGGUAAUGGCUUACCAAGGCGACGAUCAGUAUCUGGUUUGAGAGGAUGAUCAGCCACACUGGAACUGAGACACGGUCCAGACUUCUACGGAAGGCAGCAGUGGGGAAUUUUCCGCAAUGGGCGAAAGCCUGACGGAGCAAUACCGCGUGAAGGAUGAAUGCCUGUGGGUUGUAAACUUCUUUUAUUAGGGAAGAAGAUAUGACGGUACCUAAUGAAUAAGCAUCGGCUAACUCCGUGCCAGCAGCCGCGGUAAUACGGGGGAUGCAAGCGUUAUCCGGAAUUAUUGGGCGUAAAGAGUCUGUAGGUUGUUCAGAAAGUCUGUUGUUAAAGAUUAGAGCUCAACUCUAAAAAAGCAAUAGAAACUACUAAACUAGAGUAUGGUAGAGGCAAAGGGAAUUCCCAGUGUAGCGGUGAAAUGCGUAGAUAUUGGGAAGAACACCAGAAGCGAAGGCGCUCUGCUGGGCCAUUACUGACACUCAGAGACGAAAGCUAGGGGAGCAAAUGGGAUUAGAUACCCCAGUAGUCCUAGCUGUAAACGAUGGAUACUAGAUGUUGUGCGUAUCGAUCCGUGCAGUAUCGUAGCUAACGCGUUAAGUAUC